rnacentral:rRNA from 1 species
AGAUUGAACGCUGGCGGAAUGCUUUACACAUGCAAGUCGAACGGCAGCACGGGACUCAGGCAACUGAGCCCUGGUGGCGAGUGGCGAACGGGUGAGUAACAUAUCGGAACGUACCCAGUCGUGGGGGAUAACUCUCCGAAAGGAGAGCUAAUACCGCAUACGUCCUGAGGGAGAAGCGGGGACCUGCGAAGGCCUCGCGCGAUUGGAGCGGCCGAUAUCGGAUUAGCUAGUUGGUGGGUAAAGGCUACACCAAGGCGACGAUCCGUAGCGGGUCUGAGAGGACGACCCGCCACACUGGAACUGAGACACGGUCCAGACUCCGUACGGGACGGCGAGCGAGGUGGGUAAUUUUGGAACAGUCGGGGGACAACCCGUUGACUCC